AUACCUAUACACCCUGAUAGAAAAAGAAAAACUUUGCCUAUUUCUAAGUUCAAAAUCUGGAAAUUUCGCAAGCUAAAAAGGAAUUCUAAGAUAUUUCAGUUUUUAUUCAUCUACACUGAUUCUUUCUGUAAAUUCAAACGACUUAUCGAGCUGUGAUAUAUUGUCUGACUACGGAUUUGCUCGGUCACUGUAGCUGAGCUUUGAUUUGCUGUUGAUUUCAACCUCCAUUUUGCACUCUUUCUUUUUAAAAUUAAUCCUCUUGUAACUAGGUAUGUCCCUCUUACAUUGCUGUUUUCAUAUCUGAUUAAAUACAAAAUCAUAUUCAUUUUUAUGUCAACUUUCUCUUUGUUUCAUUGGAUUUGUUGUUUGAACUUACUGUUUAAAUGUCAUUAUGUGAGCCCGUUUGUUUAAGCUUUAUGUAAUCGAAUCUGAACCCAACAGACCCUAUGAAAACUCAACUAAUGUCAUAUUGUAGAGGUGUCAGUUUUAAGUCAUGUUCUAGCUUUGAGUGAUUUUUCCUUCUCUGAUGGAAAUUAUUGUAUUUGUGAUUAAUUCAUUAAGAAUUGCUCAAGCUUCCAUAUAACUGUUUUCUGAUUCUUCAUAAGUAAGCUCAUGGUAUUAUUUAGGUGAUAAGAAUGGCUGAAUAUUUGCUGGAGUAUGCAUAAAUUGCUUCACAGUUAAGGUUGUAGCUCUGAAGGUUAGAUGUUUUGACUUAUGAGAUUCUGUGAUUAUACUAUUAAAAAAAAGAACAACAAUCAUGCUUUGCUUUAGAAUUUUGUUGUUUAGCACUGGUUGUAGUUAGGUUUAAUUAUUCAUGUGAGAGUUUUUUUUUUAUUUUCUUUGUGAAAGAUGUUCUAAAGUCUUUAAACGAUUUAUUUUUCUUUCUUUUAGCCAGACUUGUAAUUCUAAAUUUUUGACUAUAUAUUAUUUCAUUGAUUAAUGGAGUACUGGGCUCUGACCACGAUAGCCCUUUAAGGUCUGGUUGUAGUGAGUUUACCCCGACCCGUCUCCAGGGCGAUAUGCACAAAUAGCUACUAACAACACCUGCCUUUAUUUUAAAGCUAGUGUUUUAAAUGUCUUUAGUCUUUAGCCACUAGUUUAAUAAAUUUAUACCUGAAUAGAUGAAAAUACCCUUCUACAAUAACUUAUACCUACGCGCUCAGCAGCAACAACAACAACGCUAAACUAUAGAAGAUUUCUACGCGAUCGUCAAAAUUGCUGAAGUAUCUCUUCCGAUUUCAAACUAUAGAAUUUAACAUUCUGAUCCAAAAAUCGACAUAGAUUUACAGUAAGUUAUACUUUUAUGUGUUUCUAUUGAUUUUUAUUUCUACAUAGUUAUACUUUUUCCGAUUUCUAUUGAUUGUUAUACAGUAAAUAGAAAUUUGAUUUUUUUUUGAAUUUUCGGAUUGCUAAAGUUAAGGACAUCGUGUCCUGUGAUAAUUCUAUAAAAAUUGAGCACAUCAUAUUAAGGUCAUAGUGUUCUGAUUUUGCAAAUUGAAUUGAAAAAGUUAAGGACAUAAUGUCCUUAACUUUGUUACUAUUCUUCUGUAUAUUAAGGACAUACUAUCAUAGUUUUGCAAAUCGUUUUGAAAAAGUUAAGGAUAAUAGGUCCUGAAGUUUGAGUUUCAAGUUGAAAAGUCCAGGACACUUGGUCCUGAACUUUCAAUAUUUAAGGAGAGUUGGUCCUUAACUUACAAUUAUAAGUUAAAAAGUUAAGGACAGGUAGUCCUUAACUUUGGGUUUCAAGUUCAAAAGUUAAGGACAUGAGUCCUUAAGUUAGGCUUGCAGGUUCAAAAGUUAAGGACAGAUAGUCCUUAAGUUUGAAUUACAGGUUCAAAAGUUAAGGACAUGCAGUCCUUAACUUUGAAUUCCAAGUUCAAAUGUUAAGGACACUUGAUCCUUAACUUGGUCUUGAACUUAUGGUACCUGUUCUUAAUUAUACAAGGAUUGUAUUAUAAAAUAUAUCCUGAGUUUUCCAUUCUCUUGACUUGCAGGAUGGAAACAAUAUGCAUUAUAGUUGCUUUUAAUGGUAGAUGGUCUGAAGACUAUAAAUAUCUUGAUCAUCAAACAAAGCUUGUUCUAGUACCUGAGGCAAUUCGAUUUGAAGAUUUCAUUAAACAUAUCUUUAAAGUUAUUGAAUUGGAUAGACACAAGUUUGAAGCAGUGAUAUGGUUUGGUAUCAACCUUGGAACAAGCAAGGGGAUGCUUGUAUUCAAAGAUUUAGAUCUUCACACAUGUAUAGAGUUACUAAAAACUCAUUCACUCUUCAAGGGCUGUCGUUUCAUUGUUGAUAUUUCGGAAAGAGUUUUUGGAUCAACAAGCAACAAACAUAUCAACAAAAAAACUCAGCAUGACAAUCAAAACAAAUGCCAACAAAUAAUGGAAAUAGAUAUGGUUGAAGCUCAAGCAAUAAAUAAAGAGGCGCUUCAAACACAUGUCAACAAAAAAACUCAACAUGACAAUCAAAACAAAUGCCAACAGAUAAUGGAAAUAGAUAUGGUUGAAGCUCAACCAAUAACUGAAGAGGUGCUUCAAACAUUUGAUUCUAUUCAAGUAGAAAGACAAAGCAUUAUAGAGAUUGACAACGAACAAACUUUGGGUAUUCAAGUAUUGGAGAGUGCACCGGUAAUCGAAGAAGUUGCUGAAAAAACCUCUACUCAACUAACUAGACGAAGAUAAAAUUUGAAACAAAAAGAAUCUCCAACUACGAUAUUAAGAGAAAAUGCUUCGUUGGAUGAAAUAAAAGUGGGAUUAAUAUUUGACAAAAAGAAGAGUAUAAUUAACCGUUUUUCGAACAUAGCAAUUAAAGAACAUUUUGAAUUCAAGGUUGUUAGAUCAAGCUCAACAAGAUAUUCGUUGAAAUGCAAUGAUGAUAUGUAUGGUUGGUGUGUGCGUGCUUUCAGAAUUAAAGAUUCAACACUGUUCAAGAUAGUAAAGAUUGAGAAAAAGCAUGACUGCUCUAUUAACACUAUGAAAGCUGAUCCAAGGCAUGCAACUUCAAAGUUGAUUAGUGGUUACAUUAAAAGCUGAUCAAAGGCAUGCAACUUCAAAGUUGAUUAGUGGUUACAUUAUUGACAAUGUUCGAGACCCAAGGUUUGAAGUUACACUAGCUUUUGUCAUGGUAGAGAUGCAAAAAUUGCAUGGACUAGACAUUAGAUAACACAAGGCGUGGCGUGCUAUUCAACUUGAUUCCGCUUUAAUAAGAGGAACUCCAGAAGAGAAUUAUGAAUUAUUGUCUUCAUACUUGUAUAUGAUGAGAAGUAAAAACCCAGGAACAUAUACUAACAUAAAGAUAGACUACAACAACAGAUAAACAAUCAAAAAAAAGUUUAUUAGUCCGUUUUAUAAAAUUUAGGACAUGCUACCUUUAACUAGUUAACUUUUGAGUUUGUAACCAUAAGUUCAGGACUGGCUGUCCUUAACUUUUGAACUUGUAAGUCAAAGUUAAGGACUGCCUGUCCUUAUGUUUUGAACUUUGAACUCAAAGUUAAGGGCUAUAUGUCCUUAACUUUAUAACUCUAAGUUAAGGACUGACUGUCCUUAUCUUUUAACCUUAUAAUCUGAAGUUCAUGACUACCUGUCCUUAACUUCUGUUAACCUUGUUUUAUAUUGUAUUUUCAGGUUUCUUUAUAUGUUUUUUGCAUAUGGAUCAUCAAUAUUUGGUUGGAUUCAUUGUAGACCAGUCAUUGC
rnacentral:lncRNA from 1 species